CCUGGCUGGGGGGUGGCGGAAGAACCUGGCUUCCCGCUGCCCGGCGACGGCGGGAUCCGGCGUCAGGUCUGAGGUGCCGGGUUGCAGCCGUCUCUGUGGCUGUGAGAAGCCACCCGGCUAGUCCGGGACCGGGUCGGCACUCCCAGCAGGAAACAGAGCACCGUCCCGAAGCAGAGGCGCCUGCAGCUGUGCGCAGGGCGCGAACAGGUGCUGCUCUGUACUCCAAACUGCAUCACAUUAGGAGGCGCCCAACAUCUGGUUGUCUCACUUUAGUGAGGCUGAAAUUGAUCACUGGUGAGGCUGUGACAGCCAGACUUCUGUGUUGUAAAGGUUACCCACCUGCCUGCCCUCAUCCCCGUACCUUUGGGCAGCCCCAGCUGCUGCAGUUCACUGGACAAGGACUCGCCAUCCACGCUAUGCUUGGCCGCACUGGAGAGGAUGAAACUCAGCACUGCCACUGUGGCCUUCACAUCACCCGACUCUGGGGGGAGCCGUGGGUGGAGUGGGGGGUGUCACUGUGGCCCCAGCCACCUCCUUGUGACCCCACUAUCUUCAGCUCAGAGCCCCCAGGCCUCCUUGAGCCAUGAGCGCUGCUACUGCCCCACUGGGAGCGGGCAGAGGACCCUAGGGCUGGCAGUGUCUUUCUUCCCUCAUGCUCCUCUGCUGAGGCAGGUCUGUGGACCCAGUGGGGUACUCACCAAACCUGGCAUCAGCGGUGAGCUUCAGGAUCUUCUCAUACUGUGGAGAAAGGAGGCCCUCAAGGGGUGCCGGGCCCCUGCUCACCAGCCCCCAACCCCUGGCGUGGAUCCUGCGCUCCAGCCGUACUGGCCUCCCUGCUGCUCCUGCUGCAAAUUAAACGUGGCUUGCUCUCUCACUUCACUCAGGUCUCUGCUCAA